rfam:Cellulophaga phage phi4:1, complete genome.
GCAGAGGUGGGUAAACUGGUAAAGCCGCCCGAUUUAGGAUCGGGAGUUCUGAGGGUUCGACUCCCUCUCUCUGUA